rnacentral:rRNA from 1 species
GACGAACGCUGGCGGCGUGCUUAACACAUGCAAGUCGAACGGAAAGGCCCUGCUUUUGUGGGGUGCUCGAGUGGCGAACGGGUGAGUAACACGUGAGUAACCUGCCCUUGACUUUGGGAUAACUUCAGGAAACUGGGGCUAAUACCGGAUAGGAGCUCCUGCUGCAUGGUGGGGGUUGGAAAGUUUCGGCGGUUGGGGAUGGACUCGCGGCUUAUCAGCUUGUUGGUGGGGUAGUGGCUUACCAAGGCUUUGACGGGUAGCCGGCCUGAGAGGGUGACCGGCCACAUUGGGACUGAGAUACGGACCAGACUCCUACGGGAGGCAGCAGUGGGGAAUAUUGCACAAUGGGCGGAAGCCUGAUGCAGCAACGCCGCGUGCGGGAUGACGGCCUUCGGGUUGUAAACCGCUUUCGCCUGUGACGAAGCGUGAGUGACGGUACUGGGUAAAGAAGCACCGGCUAACUACGUG